rnacentral:rRNA from 1 species
GGGGAACCGCCUGAACUGAAACAUCUAAGUAGGGCGAGGAAGAGACAUCAAACGAGAUUCCGUUAGUAGUGGCGAGCGAACGCGGAAGAGGGCAAACCGGAAGGAGAAAUCCUUCCGGGGUAUGGACCGCUUUUAGGACUUUAGCUGUUAAUCGAAUGGCAUGGGAAGGCCAACCAAAGAGUGUGAGAGUCACGUAGAUGAAAACGGCGAGAGCUGCGCGAGUUCCAGAGUACGGCCAGACACGUGAAACCUGGUCGGAAGAUGGGGGGACCACCCUCCAACCCUAAAUACUACCCAGUGACCGAUAGCGUAUAGUACUGUGAAGGAAAGGUGAAAAGGACCCCGGGAGGGGAGUGAAAUAGAACCUGAAACCUUGUGCCUACAAGCACAUAGAGCACAUCAACGUGUGAUAUGGUACUUUUUGUAGAACGGUCCGGCGAGCGAUUGUAUGUUGCGAGCUUAAGGUCUUAAGGACUGGAGGCGUAGCGAGAGCGAGUCUGAACAGGGCGUUCAGUAACAUGCAAUGGGCCCGAAACCGGGUGACCUACCCAUGAUCAGGCUGAAGUGAAAGUAAAAUUUCAUGGAGGGCCGAACCGACCUCCGUUGAAAAGGCGGCGGAUGAAUUGUGGGUAGCGGAGAAAUUCCAAUCGAACUCGGAGAUAGCUGGUUCUCCCCGAAAUAGCUUUAGGGCUAGCCUCAUAUUAGAUACCCGGAGGUAAAGCACUGAAUGGCCUAGCGCCCGAGAGGGUAGCGAAGCCUAUCAAACUAAGAAUGCCGGAGUAUUGAUGUAUGGGAGUCAGACAGUGUGAGAUAAAUCUCAUUGUCAAAAGGGAAACAGCCCAGAUCUACAGCUAAGGUCCCAAAUUGUAUCUAAGUGGAAAACGAUGUGGAAAUACGCAGACAACCAGGAUGUUGGCUCAGAAGCAGCCACUCAUUUAAAGAGUGCGUAAUAGCUCACUGGUCGAGCGUCUCUGCGCGGAAAAUUUAACGGGGCUAAGAUACAAACCGAAGCUUAGGCUGCAUCGUAAGAUGCGGGGUAGGGGAGCGUUGUGUAAGCGGAGAAACAGUAGCGUAAGCGGCUGUGGAGUUUACAGAAGUGAGAAUGCCGGAAUGAGUAGCGCGAAUGUGGUGAGAAUCCACAUGGCCGGAAACCUCAGGUUUUUGGAGGAAGGUUCGUCCGCUCCAAGUUAGGCGGGAGCUAAGGUCAGGCCGAAAGGCGUAGCCGAUGCACAGACGGUAGAGAUUCCGUCCCCACCGAAAGAUUUAAGCACAGGGACACUUUUUGAAGGUCGGAGCCAGGUGUUGGUUCUGGUAGUGAUCGAGGGAAAUAUAGUACCGAAGUCCGGCUGGAAGAGAGGCGAGAAAAGCUGUGUGUAUAUCUAAGGUGCCCGUACCGCAAACCGACACAGGUAGGUAGGAAGAAGAUUCUAAGGCCAACGGGAGAAGGGUUGUUAAGGAACUCGGCAAGUUGACCCCGUAACUUCGGAAUAAGGGGUGCUCACGAGAGUGAGCCGCAGAGAAUAGGCCCAGGCAACUGUUUACCAAAAACACAGGUUUGUGCUAAAUCGAAAGAUGACGUAUACGAGCUGACGCCUGCCCGGUGCUGGAAGGUUAAAAGGAGAUGUGCAAGCAUUGAAUUGAAGCCCCAGUGAACGGCGGCCGUAACUAUAACGGUCCUAAGGUAGCGAAAUUCCUUGUCAGGUAAGUUCUGACCCGCAUGAAAGGCGUAAUGAUUUGGGCACUGUCUCAACAGCCCGCCCGGCGAAAUUGUAGUACCGGUGAAGAUGCCGGUUACCCGCGACAAGACGGAAAGACCCCAUGGAGCUUUACUGUAGCCUGAUAUUGGGUUUCGGUGUUGCAUGCACAGGAUAGAUGGGACGCUAGGAAAGAAGCGCUUUGGCGUUUCUGGAGCGGACGUUGGGAUACCAUCCUUGCGACAUUGGAAUUCUAACCUGCGCCUCUGAAUCGAGGCGGGGGACAUUGUCAGGUGGGCAGUUUGACUGGGGCGGUCGCCUCCUAAAAAGUAGCGGAGGCGUUCAAAGGUUCGUUCGAUCUGGACGGAAACCAGAUGAUUGAGUGCAAACGCAUAAACGAGCCUGACUGCGAGACUGACGGGUCGAGCAGAGACGAAAGUCGGAGUUAGUGAUCCGGUGGUAUGUGAGUGGAAAUGCCAUCGCUCAACGGAUAAAA